rnacentral:snRNA from 1 species
GCUGAGUGCUUGCUACCAAAUUGCAAUGAUACAUGGGAGAUUAGUAUGGUCCUGCACAAAGAUGACGUGCAAAUCUGUGAAGCAGUCCAUAUUUUA